GUAAUUGUGGCCGAGUGGUUAAGGAGAUGGACUAGAAAUCCACUGGGGUUUCCCCACACAGGUUCAAAUCCUGUCAGUUAUG